CCUACGGGUGGCAGCAGUGAGGAAUAUUGGUCAAUGGACGAGAGUCUGAACCAGCCAAGCCGCGUGAAGGAUGACUGCCCUAUGGGUUGUAAACUUCUUUUAUAUGGGGAUAAAAUGUUCCACGUGUGGGAUUUUGUAUGUACCAUAUGAAUAAGGAUCGGCUAACUCCGUGCCAGCAGCCGCGGUAAUACGGAGGAUCCAAGCGUUAUCCGGAUUUAUUGGGUUUAAAGGGAGCGUAGGUGGAUGGUUAAGUCAGUUGUGAAAGUUUGAGGCUCAACCGUAAAAUUGCAGUUGAAACUGGCAGUCUAGAGAACAGUAGAGGUGGGCGGAAUUCGUGGUGUAGCGGUGAAAUGCUUAGAUAUCAUGAAGAACUCCGAUUGCGAAGGCAGCUCACUGGACUGCAACUGACACUGAGGCUCGAAAGUGUGGGGAGCAAACAGGAUUAGAUACCCUUGUAGUC
rnacentral:rRNA from 1 species